GGACUCUUGAACUCUCUCUCGAUCUCUCUCGAAAGCUGUUUUGAUCUCUCUUCUUCUUCUUCUUCUUCUGUUCUCUGAUUCUUCGUCAUUUUCUCUACCCUUUGCUCUGUCCUUACUUUGCGUUUAUUUACGUUAUUGUCAUUAAUUGCUCGGGCUUUUUCUUCUCUAUUUGGUCUCUCGCUCCAGUCUUCUCGCCUCUUCUCGCGUCUUCAAUCACCCUUUCUCUCGCUCGCCGCCUCCUAAAGAUUCGAGAUCGAUCUGAAGACUUUUUCCUUUUCCUUUUCCUCUUCUCUCUCUGGCCUUUCGUUUGGCUGUCUCCACUGAAUCACGGUUCAGGUUUGCCUUUUAGCUACCAGCGAUUCGGGUUUCCGGCCGGCUGUGCUGCGGUGUUCGUAAAUAAGGUGAGAGAGAUAGAAAAGGUGAGAGAGAAGGGAAGCAGCGGAGGAAGCCUAUCGAUUUUGGGUUUGAGCAAUUUCUUGAAUUCUCUCUCGAUCUCUCUCGAAGCUCCACCGUUUCUUAAUUCGCUCCAUGUUUUUUUAAAUUUCUGUAAUCGAUUAAAGCUUUUGAUCUUGAAACCUAUUUCAUUUUCAGAGAGAGCAAUUCCAGAGAUUUCGACAACGAUCGAGGAGAGGGAGAGGAUAGGAGAAAAGGAGAAAGAGGAGGGGAUUUUGUCUGGGGUUAUAUGAAGUCUGAAUGAUAGUUAAAUGGCCUCAUUAUUCUUCCGAACCCCUGCUUUGCAUGAUAUUGUAACAUUUCGAGAUCCAACACAGAACCCGGAGAAUUGGAACAAAUUGUUUUCAUAAAGAGGAUUGUUGCAAAAGCUGGAGACUUGGUCGAGGUUCGGAAUGCAUGGCUCUAUGUCAAUGGUAUUGCACAGAAAGAAGAUUUUAUAGCAGAACCACCCACAUAUGUAUUAAUUUGACUAUGUCUUAGUUCUCUUUUCGACAGGAAAUGGAAGCAACAGUUACCAGAUGUGUAUGUUGCAGCAGUGCCUCUAAGAGCCACAAAAAAAUGGACCUGUCCGGCUCCUCACCUCUACUGCUUACUCUCUCAAUCUCUUGAAAGAACCAAAUGGUGUAUUGUAUAUAACAAAAUGUCGGUGGCGGAUCCUUCUAUACCCAGCAUUGCCCCACAUGCUUCAAGCAAAUGAGGUACAAAGCUAGCUUUGAAUCUGCCAACUAUGAUUUGUUACAGGUAACAUAAAUUUAAAAUUGAUAUUGUCGAAAGUCCUUCCUGUGCUUUCUUUCUUGCUUUGUUUGGUUUUUUCUUUAUUUUUCCAGGUUCUGCUUGAAAACAAAGAAAUUGGUUCUGCUGUUUCUAUAGUUUACUCGAAGUUUUGAACAAGCUCAUGUCCAUAGAUUUUACCCUAAAAAGAAGGUGGUGAUACAGUUAAAAUUGUUGAAGGACCAAAUGGUGUAUUGCAGAUAACAAAAUUGUCGGUGGCGAAUGCCUCUAUACCCAGUGUGUGCCACAUGCUUCAAGCAAAUGAGGAAGAAGCUACAAAGCUAGCUCUGGAUCUGCCCCAGAUUAUGAUUUGUUACAGGUGCUUAAGAACCAGUAGCGCAACUAAAGCAAGCAGUAGUUAAAAGUUGGGAUUAUGGAUGAAGUAUUCUAGAUCAUCAGAAGAAAAGAUGAACCAGGGUGCCCUAGGUUUGGGGUUAUCUGAAUAACCUAUACAUGUACCAAAUACAAAGACAGAUGCAGAUUCAACAAAUGAGUUGUUGAACAAGUUACCAAGACUGGAUCAUCAGAAGAAAAUAUGAAGCAGGGGGUACGUAGCACCCCAUAGUUUAAUUAUUGACUAAUCACACAAAUUUCUCUUAGUUAAUGUCUAGUUUUCUAUCAUUAAAAUACUCUGUAACAUGUAUUGAUGAAAAUGUUUUGUGUGAGUUGAAGAGUCGCAUAAACUUGAGUCACAUUUUAUGGUUCAAACUUCAAAGUAAUUAACUGACUGAAAGUAUGAACAUUGUGACUUUGUU